rnacentral:rRNA from 1 species
AUGAAGUCGGAAUUGCUAGUAAUGGCAGGUCAGCAUACUGCCGUGAAUACGUUCCCGGGCCUUGUACACACCGCCCGUCACACCAUGAGAGUUGGAGAUACCCGAAGCCUAUGAGCUAACUUUUGAGGCAGUAGUCGAAGGUAGAAUCAAUGAUUGGGGUGAAGUCGUAACAAGGUAAC